rnacentral:lncRNA from 1 species
UCGUGAAAGCAUUGAAUUUUUUCUCUAGUACAAUUCAAGCCACAAAAUGCUUAAACAUUCAACUAAAAAUCUGUUGCAAUCACUUCAUUGAAGUGGAAAGAAAUUACAUAAUGAAGAGACAAUGCUUAAACAUUGUGAGAUGCUGGUAUGUCAUCAAAGUCCAAGUUGAUACUACACAUUCCUUGAAUGGCAACUCCAUCCCAUCCACAUCGCAUAACUACAAACGACAAUACCAUCUAGACAAUUCACAUCGAGUAACCCCCUAGGACGACACAAUUACAAAACAACAUUACUUAAAAACUAAAUAGUGAUGAAACUACUAAUGCCUGAAAUGCAAAACUGAAUAAGGUCAUUAAAUUCAGAACUACAGCUCAUUCACGGCCCUUUCCUUUCUUCUCUCCAUCCGUAUUUGCUCUUCCUUUGUGUAUUGUCACGUUAAGAGACAUCUCCACAUAGCGUUGAUCAAAUAGUCGGCAUUGAGAUUGAAACAUGCAAGGUAAUUCUUCAACUCCUUUGCUCCUCACAUGAUUCGUAGAAGUUACGCUGAUUACACUUGCUUCACUGUUAGUCUCGCCAUCUUUCACCACUCCCAAUAUCCACAUUUUGCAGUACAGGUAUUGAAUAAUCUACCCUUGUUUUAGCUCUCUUUCUCUACCUCAAAGCACUUGAUGAAUGCAUGUUUGCACCAUGGGCAAUGCCGUUUCUCCGGACAGUCAGCAAAAAAAUGCCUUUUUUCUCUAUAACAAUGACAUACUCCCUGGUUCUUCCCUGCCAUCGUAAGAUGAAAAUAAAUCACAACACAUCAAAAGUUAUUCAGGAAUAAGAGCUCACAUCCAUUAAAGCAAUCUUAUUGAGUUCACAAAAAGAAGCUGAUUCCAGACAUCUAUAAAAUUCACACACCAUAACGAGAAAAUUCAAAAUUUCAACAUUCAAAGUGCACAAACAGAAGCUGAUUGCUACUGACUACAUCGAUUGCUGAUUUCAGAGUUCACCCAAUUUAGAGUUUACAAACCAAAGCUGAUUUCAAAGUUCACCCGAUUUAGGAGAAAAAAUGGAAGAAAAAAAANNN